rnacentral:lncRNA from 1 species
AGAUACACUCAACAAAUAAGAUUAGUUUCCUAUGUAUGUGUUGUCAUUAACACCAAAACUCGAUUAAGGGCCUGACUGCACUUUCAGGGAGGAGGGGCCCGUGAGGCCGCCCUGAUGCAGGAGGGUGUCGGGGACAUGGAGAGGCAUCGAGGGGAGGCUUGAACCUGCCGGGGGUAGCCACCUUUGUCUCUGGUGCGCCCUGUCGCGUGCCUAGAGCAUAGUUUUGGCAUGCCACGACAUCCUGGCGCUCUGGGGUUCUUUGGCCGUGUCUAGCUUGUCUUGGGGUGGGGUUAGAUGAUCCCUAGCCGUUUGAGAGUUGAGAGACUCACCGUGGAUCAAAGGGAGUGAUAAAAGAAAUGAUGUCAGACUUGAGCCACAUACUAAAAUGGAGAUUUUGGCUCUUUUGCUUGGAACCAGAGAGGGGCCACUCGCCUGAAGUUGAGGAGUGGUGAUGGCUGCUUAGACUAUGAGUUUGGAGGAAAGUGUAUGGG